CACGUAGGCGGAUUGCUAAGUCAGGGGUGAAAUCCUGGAGCUCAACUCCAGAACUGCCUUUGAUACUGGCGAUCUUGAGUCCGGGAGAGGUGAGUGGAACUGCGAGUGUAGAGGUGAAAUUCGUAGAUAUUCGCAAGAACACCAGUGGCGAAGGCGGCUCACUGGCCCGGUACUGACGCUGAGGUGCGAAAGCGUGGGAGCAAACA
rnacentral:rRNA from 1 species